rnacentral:lncRNA from 10 species
CUGAACUACACUUAACCCCUUUUAUCGGUCAUCCUCCUCUCUCUUCACUUUGCACUCUCCUUGUGUCUCACCUUCUUAGGAAUGACUGUGAAUGCUGUGGAGCCCGGUGUUGUAUACAUGGGGAUUAUGAGGCAUUUCUCUUAGCCAUAAUGCUUCCUCUUCUAGCUUGUCAGCUUCUUCAUGAAGGAUCUCAAACAAGGUGUACUCCCAGUCCUCUACUUGAGCUUGGCAGAGGAGCCGGGUGGUAUUUCUGGAAAAUAUUUCAGCAGUUCCUGUGUGAUAACUCUUCCCGUUAAAGCCUCUCGGGAUCCUCAUGUUGCCCAGAGCCUCUGGAAUGCCUCAGUCCGACUGACAAGCCUAGUCAAGAUGGACUGACCCUCUGUGACCUCUGCCCUAACUUGCCACCCUGCCUCUAACUUCCAGCACUUACUCUGAUUAUGCCCUUUGUUUGCUGGCUUCUAGGACCAAUUACUGUCCAGUAUAAUGACCACUUCCUAUGCCUGUUGGCUUAGUGAUGACUUGAGAGUCAAGAAUAGUCGGGGCCAGCUGCGAUGGCUCACACCUGUAAUCCCAAUGCUUUGGGAGGCUGAGGUAGGCAGAUUGCUUGAGCUCAGGAGUUCAUGACCAGCCUAGAGCAACAUGGAAAAACCCCAUCUCUACAAAAAAAUACAAAAAU